AUGCGCAAGCAAAUUAAGGAGCUAGAGGCGUUUGCCAAGGGAGGAGCACGCAAGGUGAUGCGUGGAGGAGGACAUGGCCGGAGCUCAGGCCCAGUUCUUGAUGUAGCUGCUGUAGUGGUCCUGGACGUUCGCCACGUCGUAGUACCGGUCCCAGAGCAUGACGCCGCCGUAGUUGGCCGCCUUCUGCACGAUCGGCAUCGUGAUCUCCCAGAGCGCCUUGGGGUGCAGGUAGCAGCUCGCCUUCUCCGACGCCGUCAGGCCGAGGUGGAUCUUGCUGCCCGGGUACGCCGCCGUCCACCUGCCCCACGCGUCCUCGAUGAACGCCGUGCAGUCCGGGUAGUCGUAGAACCUCACGUGGAUGCGCUCGAAGACCCCCGUCGAGAGCGCCGGCGCCGCAAGCCUGUCCGGGAACGCGUAGCGCGGCGUCGCCGUCAGCCGCGGCGCCUUCCCCCCGCUGGCCCUGCGCCUGGCCAGCCCCCUCGCCAGCCCGUCGUAGUGCUCCGCCGGCCCGCCCCGCUCGAUGAAGAGGUCGACGCCGUCCAGCCGCGCGCGGCCGAACGGGCGGCGCACGCCCCUGCGCCUGCCGCCGAGGUAGGAGAACCAGAGGUGGUCGGCGAGGUCGAGCGCGGACCGGUUGGUCGGGAGCGCGUAGUCGCCGCCGAAGCCGCCGAUGGAGAGGGAGACGGUGACGCCCAUGGACUGGCAGUGCCUGAUGUCGCCCCCGAUGCCGGCGAGCGGGUGGCCGGAGAGGUCGAGGCGGUACUUGCCGUGGCCGUAGACGUUGAGGAAGGACAUGAUGACCGCGGUGUAGAGGCCGGCGUCGCAGGCUUCCCUGAGAGAGCCCUCGUCCUUGUUCCGGCCCCAGAAGACGGUGAGCUGGCCGGUCUUCCCCGUGGCGGCGGCCGGAGCGGGGAGGAGGCCGUGAACGGAGAGAACAGCGGCGAUGACCAGGAGGGAGGUAGGACUCCGGCGUGUCAGCGCCAUUUCUGA
rnacentral:rRNA from 1 species